rnacentral:rRNA from 1 species
CUACGGGAUGCACCAGUGAGGAAUAUUGCACAAUGGGGGGAACCCUGAUGCAGCAACGCCGCGUGGAGGAUGACGCAUUUCGGUGUGUAAACUCCUUUUAUAUGUCAAGAAAAUGACGGUAGCAUAUGAAUAAGCACCGGCUAACUCCGUGCCAGCAGCCGCGGUAAUACGGAGGGUGCAAGCGUUACUCGGAAUCACUGGGCGUAAAGGACGCGUAGGCGGGCUUGUAAGUCAGGUGUGAAAUCCUACAGCUUAACUGUAGAACUGCACUUGAAACUACGAGCCUAGAGUGUGGGAGGGGCAGGUGGAAUUAGUGGUGUAGGGGUAAAAUCCGUAGAUAUCACUAGGAAUACCUAAAGCGAAGGCGAUCUGCUGGAACAUAACUGACGCUAAGGCGUGAAAGCGUGGGGAGCAAACAGGAUUAGAUACCCCAGUAGUC